CCCUUAGAUGUUCUGGGCCGCACGCGCGCUACACUGACGAAGUCAGCGAGCAUGUCCUACGCCGACAGGUGCGGGGAAUCUUGUCAAACUUCGUCGUGAUGGGGAUUGAUUAUUGAAAUUCUUGAUCAUCAACGAGGAAUUCCUAGUAAGCGCAAGUCAGCAGCUUGCGUUGAUUACGUCCCUGCCCUUUGUACACACCGCCCGUCGCUACUACCGAUUGAAUGGUUUAGUGAGAUCUUCGGAUUGGCGCCACUGCGGCUCAGCAAUGGGCUCAGUGGAUGCCGAAAAGUUGAUCAAACUUGAUCAUUUAGAGGAAGUAAAAGUCGUAACA
rnacentral:rRNA from 1 species